UAAUUGAUGAAUAAAUCCUGGCAUGUCGAGCAUCAGCAUGGCAUGGAUUUGUGUAACUUUUCGUUUCGUCUACCUUUUUUUGAGAGAGAAUCGUUUCAUCUACUUAUGUCUACGUUGUUUGUGCUUUGGACUAGUUCCUGUUUGAAAGAGUACUAGGUUUGUAUCUGAGUACUCAUUAUCCACAAAAUUAGAGAAUGGCAUGCGCUACCUAGUCCUUCCACGUGGCAGUCCAUUUGGUAUCCUCUUUGAAACAACUUUGUUGCUGUACGAACCAUGCAUGCGUUCAUGUUCCAUUUGAUUCUUCCAAACAUGCAGACCACCAUAUAUACAUGGAUGACAGUCAGUUCCAAAUUUUUCAUCAUCAUCAUCAUCAGUGAGUUUUAGUUGCCUGCAGUAUUUUAUCACUGAAACCAUUUAGAUUGAAUAUCAGUUUUUACUGUUAGUCUCAUGCGACCGGAUCUUCAUUGCUACGAAGUUGCUAGUGGUGAACGAUGUCGCUUUAGACACUUAGUCACCUGGUGAUAAAACUGUGAGAUUGUAUCGAAGCGUCUCAAUGCCCAUACACAGGCACCCGCAUGGUAUAUAUUGAUAUUGUGGUUUGUGGUACAAGAAAGGGUUGUUGGGAUCAACCGCAUGAGAGAAUACAUGAGGUUUAACAUAGAGAUAACAAGAAUAAGAAAGAGAUCACAACUAUCUCUAGUUACAACUGAACCUGCGUAUAGCCUCCUGUACCUAUACGUUUAACACCCUCCCAUAAUCAUAACUUGACCAAGUUAAGAUUACGCUUGAAUUCUUCAAAUGGCCUUGUUGGUAGUGCUUUUGUAAAACCAUCUGCAACUUGAUCCUUUGAAUGCACAAACCGUAUCUCUAAUUAUUUGCUUGCAACUCUUUCCCUAACAAAAUGAUAGUCAAUCUCAAUGUGUUUAGUCCGUGCAUGAAAAACAGGAUUAACUGAAAGAUAUGUUGCACCAAGGUUGUCACACCAAAGACAUGGAGUUGGAGAACAAUAUAUCCCAAGUUCCUUAAGCAUGGACUUAACCUAUAUAACUUCUACUGUUGCAUUUGCCAAUGCUUUAUACUCUGCUUCAGUACUUGACCUGGACACUGUAGCUUGUUUUCUUGCACACCGUGAAAUUACAUUUGGUCCAAGGAAUAUGGCAGACCCUCAUGUAGACCCUCUAUCAUCCACACAGCCUUCCCAAUGAGAGUCAGAGAAAGCACUAACCAAUGUGGAUGAUGAUUUACUAAAAGUCAAGCCAAGCCCUAAAGUGCCCUUUACAUAUCUCAGUAUGCGCUUGGCAGUUGUCCAAUGUGAUGUUGUAGGUGCAUGAAGGAAUUGAUGAACUUUGUUUACAGCAAAGCAAAUAUCAGGCCGAGUCAAAGUCAAAUACUGAAGUGCACCAACUAAACUUCUGUACCUGGUGCCAUCCUCUUGAUCCAGGAGUGCUCCUUAUGCAAGAGACAAUUUUUCUGUGCUAGGUAAUGGAGUAGAUGAUGAUUUACAUCCAUGCAAGCUAGCUCUAUUUAAAAGAUCAGUUGCAUAUUUUUCUUGAGACAGAUGAAGACCACCUUCCCUGUUUCUCUGAACUUCUAUGCCGAGAAAGAAAUGCAAAUCUCCCAAGUCCUUAAGAGCAAACUCUGAGUUCAAAUCCUUCAACAAGUCUGGCACUGCUUCAUUUGAUGAACUUGUAACAAUGAUAUCAUCAACAUAAAUAAGCACAAAAACAGAUGUCUUUGACUUAUUAUAAAUAAACAGAGAUGUGUCAAAUUUCGAAGGAGCAAAACCAAGUGCUUGUAGCUUUGAACCCAACCGAGAGUACCAUGCCCUAGGGGCCUGUUUCACCCCAUAAAGAGACUUAUCCAGCCUGCAUAUAUGAAAGGGUUUGUUUUUAUCCUCAAAACCAGGGGGUUUCUUCAUGUAAACUUCCUCUUCCAGAACACCAUGAAGAAACACAUUCUGCACAUCUAGCUGUUCGAAACACCAUCCUUUGGAUACGGCAAUGGACAAAACAAGGCCUAUAGUAGCAGCUUUAACAACAGGACUGAAUGUAUCUUCAUAGUCUAUGCCACACUUCUGUUUGAAUCCCUUUGCAACAAGUCUAGCCUUAUACCUGUCUAUAGUACCAUCUGACUUUUUCUUUAUUCUGAAUACCCAUUUGCAAUCAAUCAAAUUUUUACCUUGUUGUGAAGGAACUAGAUGCCAGGUUUUAUUUUCCUGAAGUGCUUGAAACUCUUCUUCGAUAGCUUUUCUCCACCUUGCAUCCUUGCAUGCUUCCUGGAACGAACUAGGUUCUCCUGUGGAGCAGGUUAAGCCAAACUUUACUUUAUAAUUGACAGGUUGGAUUACACCAGCUCGUAACCUUGUACGUGGCGGAGUUAUAACUUGCUGCACCACUGCACCCGAAAUUUGCGCAGAAGAUCCUGAAGACUAGUCCGCUAUAGGAGUUCCUGGCAAUCCCGGAGCAGAUUCGCUGCUGGUGGCAGCUGCGGGAUCCUCUGCGGCCGAGCCAGGGCAUGACGUGGAGGCGCGCGGCACAGAAGAUCCGGGUACUCCAGUUGCUGAGCCCGACCCAUGCGCCUCCGUAACCACCUGUGGAUCUGUGCCUGCACGGGACUAGUGGAUGGCGCGCCUGGCGUAGACACGCGGGGUCGCACCGAAUCGGUCGGCUGAUCUGUCCUCAUAAGGCGACAUCGUGCGCGUGUGGACAGGCGGGUCCACGCCCUGACGCGUGUCAGGCGCAGAUGGGUGGAGCGUCGUUCCCGUGCUGACGCCACCAUCCGUGCACGCCUGCUGCCGCGGCAUCGAUCCCGGAGCGGAUGUUGGCGGGUCUGCGGCCGCCGAUCCCGAGGAAGAUCGGGGUGCAGGGUUGGCAUGUAGCGGCCACAUGAAAUUUAGGCUGUUUGGACUAUUUUCUUCAACGUUUUGCCUCAAAAAAAAUUCCUGCUGCAUCCUGAGUCGACCCUGCAUCAUCACAAUCAUCAUUUUCAUGGUUAGAAGCAUUAGUCAUACGAUCAGUACAAUUGUCAUCCCCAUGCUGAAAAUCAAAUGAGAGGGUAAAAGAAGGAUUUCUUUUCGGAGCAAGGCACCAGCAUUAGGGUGUAAAUGAGCAAAAGGGAAGACAGUUUCAUCAAAAACAACAUCAUGUGAGAUGUAUACUCGACCAGUGGGAACAUCUAAGCAUUUAACGCCCUUGUGCUUUGCACUAUAGCCGAGAAAAACACAUUGUUUGGAGCGGAACAUGAGUUUGGGGUUGUUGUAGGGACGCAGGUUAGGCCAACAAGCACAACCGAACACACGAAGAGAUUGAUAAUCUGGUCGAGUAUGAAGGAGCCUAUGCAUGGGUGUAUCAUUGUUGAUGACUCGACUUGGAAGCAUGUUAAUGAGAUGGACUGCCGUAAGGAAGGCCUCAUCCCAAAACUUGAGAGGCAUGGAAGCGCCAGCAAGUAGGGCUAGACCUACUUCAACAACAUGUCGAUGUUUGUGCUCAGCUGAGCCAUUCUGUUGAUGUGCAUGGGGACAUGAUACAUGAUGAGAAAUACCCAAGGUUUGAAAAAACAAAUCUAGUUUCUCAUACUCACCGCCCCAAUCAGAUUGGACGGCGAGAAUUUUUGUAUCAAAUUGGCGUUCAACAAGUGCUUGAAAAUUUUGAAAAACUUGGAAAACGUCAGAACGUUUUUUAAGAAGAUAAAUCCAAGUAUACUUACUAUAAUCAUCUAUGAAGCUCACAUAGUAAGUAUGACGUCCAACAGACAUAGGGGCAGGACCCCAAACAUCAGAAAAUACAAGUUGCAAUGGUCUCGUAGAAACACUAGUAGAAAUUGGAUAUGGUAGCUGAUGAGAUUUUGCUUUCUGACAAGAAUCACAUAUAGUUUCAAGACUAAGCUCACCAACACAUGGGAGCUGAUUAUUUCUAAGCACUUGUUGAACGAUAACAAAAGAUGGAUGUCCUAAUCUUGCAUGCCACCGCUCCGAGGAGAGUUUGAUGACACCAAAAACUUGUUUGUUGAAGCUUGUGAAUUGGGGAAUCAAUGGAUAGAGCCCAUGCACACAUCUACCUCUGUAGAGAAUGUUCCUCGUGACCUGAUCUCGAAUCAAAAAGAAAUAUGGGUGAAAUUCUAGAAACACUUUGUUGUCAAGGGCAAUACGAUGAACAGAAAUAAUGUUUUUUGCUGUUUCGGGAACGUGCAAGAUAUUUCUAAGAUGGAUAUUACGACUAGGGGUUUUGACAAUUGCAUGACCAAUAUGAUCAAUCUCCAUACCUUCACCAUUGGCAUUGUGAACUUGAUCUUGGCCAUGGUACUUCUCGCUCAUCGUCACCUUCUCGAGCUCGUUGGUGAUGUGGUUGGUAGCCCCAGAGUCGACGUACCAGUUUGUGUCAACUCCGUACGAUGUGUCCGUUGCUGCUGCUGCAACUUUCUUUCUGCUGGAGUUGCUCUCGGCAUAGCGCCAAUCACAAUCCUUGGCGAUGUGGUUAUCUUUCUUGCAAAUCUGACACUUAUUUUCAUACUCCUCAUACCCUUGGAAGGGACGCCCCCUGAUGUUGUUGUACUAGGGGCAUCUAUUGUUGCCGCCGUUGUUCUGGUAGUGACCACCGCCGCCAGCGUUCUGGUAGUGGCCGCCACCACCACCGCCGCCGCUGUUGUAGUUGUUGUAGCCGCCACUGCCGCCACCGGCGUUGGAGUUUUUGUAGUGACCGCCGCCGCCGUUGUUGCCGCCGCCAUUCUGAUAAGGGCCGCCGCCGCCACCACGAGAUCCACCACCACCACUCCUGUUGGAGUUGUGGUAGCGGCUGGAGUUGUUGUUGCCACGACCUCGGGAUGCAGCAUUAGCCGUGGAUUUGAAGGCGCCCGCCCCUGUCCCGUGGAACAUCUCAACGCGCUGGUCGAAGUUUGAAACCAUGCCGAAGAGAUCAUCCACCGAGAGGGAAGUGGUGCGUAUGUCCAGCGCCGGGAUCAGGUGUUGGUAGUCCAUGUCGAGCCCUGUAAUGAUGAAAGAAAGAAGAUCUCGUUCGAGAGUGCUCUCAUCUGCCCAAAGUAUGCGGAUGCGCUCAAGGAGCCUUUCUGUGCAUUGGUGAGGGAGAUGCGGCAGUUGUUCACACGAGAACGGGAUUGGGCAGUGAACAUGUUUGCUAGAGCUGACCAUAUGGCAUGCGAGGUUUCUAGAGAGGCGACUUGGAUCAGGACCUCCUUCGAGAGAUUGCGAAGGAGGAAGGCUAUAAUCUGCUGAUCUUGAAUCAGCCAUGGUUUGUAUUCAGGGUUAGGAACGAUUUGCUCCUUUCCUUCUGAGGUCUUGGUGACUAUGGUGUUGUUUGGCUCGGGUGUGGUUUGAUCUAUGUACCCAUAUAGCCCAACACCCAUGAUCUGGGAGCGAGCUUGGGUUCUCCAUAGGAUGUAGUUGGUUCUUGUGAGAGGCUCGGAUGUGGUGCUAGUAAGGGCAUUGGAUGGAACUUGGUUGGAGGUAGACAUGGUUGGGUUUGGUGGAGGAGAAGGUAGGAGCUCGGGUUUUCAGCGGGAGGAAGGAAGGUAGUCGAGGCUAGAUGUGGCGGAAGAGGGAGGCUCUGAUACCAUGUGAGAUUGUAUCGAAGCGUCUCAAUGCCCAUACACAGGCACCCGCAUGGUAUAUAUUGAUAUUGUGGUUUGUGGUACAAGAAAGGGUUGUUGGGAUCAACCGCAUGAGAGAAUAUAGGAGGUUUAAAACAAGAAUAAGAAAGAGACCACAACUAUCUCUAGUUACAAUUGAACCUGCGCAUAGCCUCCUAUACCUAUACGUUUAACAAAAACAUCGAUCCCACACUUCUAAUGAAGCCGCACAUAAUAUUAUUUCCAUGUUCUAUGGUCAUCUCCUAUUUCCUGAUUGCACUGGACAACUCAUCUCUGGACUUGCAUAGCAACUCCUAAAAAAUGAAGUACUUGAUGUGGGCUCGUACGUCACUAAAAGGAUUUCACAAAGAUGUAUAUUGUCACUAGAUACAAAUUCUUGCUAUGGAAUUCUUAAAACACACACAUAUCACGUGCUUGUCUCGCCUCUUCUCGAGACCUUCCUU
rnacentral:lncRNA from 1 species